GACAGAGGGGGCAAGCGUUGCUCGGAAUCACUGGGCGUAAAGGGCGCGUAGGCGGGAUGGCAAGUCGGUCGUGAAAUCCUUCGGCUCAACCGAAGAACGUCGGCCGAUACUGCCGUUCUUGAGGGAUGCAGAGGAGAUUGGAAUUCCCGGUGUAGCGGUGAAAUGAGUAGAGAUCGGGAGGAACACCGGUGGCGAAGGCGGGUCUCUGGGCAUCUCCUGACGCUGAGGCGCGAAAGCGUGGGGAGCAAACGGG
rnacentral:rRNA from 1 species